rnacentral:lncRNA from 1 species
CACUCCUUAGAGCAGGCACCAAAUGGAUUCUGGAAUUGGUGUUAAGUCAUGCUACGCUGACCUCUGAUGAAGGACCCCUGUUCCGGCUCUCCAACAGAGUUCCCUAAAGCCCAGUGACUGCUAUCACCCGGGAUCCCUAAGAGUUCCUCUGCAUGAACUGCUACAGACGCAAUGAGGAUAAAGACAGAAGCCUCCAGGACGCCUCCCACCAGCAGCACCUUCCCAACCCCCAGAACCCUGUCUGCUUCAUGGUCCCUUUCACAACUUCAAAGCCUCUUUCCUCCCUGUCUCCCCAAGAAAGGGCCAAUCUGAACUAAUUAGGUAAUCAGACUCAGCUGAAAAUUUAAAAGCAAAAAUGCCUAUCUGGGCACACACAAAAAAAUCUGAUACAUGUAUGUGCUGCAAAUGCAGACUCAUCAAGUUUCAGCAAGAAACUUUCCGUGUUUUUUUUAUCCCACAAAAGCCUUCUUUGUCUGCUAUUUUCUUAAAAGUCACAAAGAGAGCCUUAGAGAUCUGCAGCUUACCCUUUAAAUGGAAUGGGAAAGUAUUUCCAGACAUCAGAUUCCUCCACCUGUAAUGCAAAUUUAAUUAACACUCGGCAAGGUCUCCCCAAGUUAACCAGUUAUU